AUCACUUCUCAGCCUUUUGGCUGAGAUCAAGUGUAAAAGGUAUAGGGACCCAAAACAUUGGUUUUGAUCCACUUUGCUCUGCCAGUCAUCAGCUUCAUGACCUUGGGCAAGAGAUUUUACCCAUUUUAAACUUAUUUCUCUAUUUUUAAUAGGGGAAGAAUAAUACAU
rnacentral:snRNA from 1 species